rnacentral:tRNA from 1 species
UGGGGUGUAGCUCAAGUGGCAGAGCGCCUGGCUGUUAACCAGGAGGUUGGAGGUUCGAACCCUCCCGCCCCAG